rnacentral:lncRNA from 1 species
GACAUUGUUAAAAGAAACCGAAGAGCAAAGUGAUUACUUGAAAGGAUCACUAAAAGAAAUCGAAAUAGAGAGGGAUCAACUAAAGCGUAGGUUGAUUUUUGGCCGAAGAAAAAGAGAAUGGCCUAAAAAAAUUAUUGUAUGGUCUGUUGUUGGUGUUGGCUUUCUCGAUAGGUGUAAUAGGAAUGUAGGAAACUGAAUAAAUUGAUGUAUGUUUUAUUAGAUCAAUCGUGG